CUACCCAUACCCCAUGCUGCUCUUGCUAUGGUAUGUCAGAAACUUCCUUGUCCCCUUGAUAUUACAGCCCAGAGAAUGGAGAGACUGAUGUGCACAGGAUCACAAACUUUUGACUCUCUUCCACCAGAAACUCAAGCACUGAAAGCAGCUUUUAUGAAAUGUGGAAGUGAGGACACUGCUCCAGUUAUCAUGUUUGUUUCCAAAAUGUUUGCAGUUGAUGCUAAGGCCUUGCCUCAGAAUAAGCCAAGGCCUCUCACUCAAGAAGAAAUUGCUCAGAGACGUGAGCGUGCAAGACAAAGGCAUGCAGAGAAGCUUGCAGCAGCGCAGGGACAGGCACCCUUGGAGCCCACCCAAGAUGGGAGUGCCAUUGAAACAUGUCCAAAAGGAGAGGAGCCAAGAGGUGACGAGCAACAGGUGGAAAGUAUGACCCCCAAACCUGUGCUCCAGGAAGAAAACAAC
ensembl:lncRNA novel transcript